rnacentral:rRNA from 1 species
UACGGGGGGAGCAAGCGUUGUUCGGAUUUACUGGGCGUAAAGGGCGCGUAGGCGGCCAGCACAAGUCAGUUGUGAAAUCUCCGAGCUUAACUCGGAAAGGUCAACUGAUACUGUGCGGCUAGGGUGCGGAAGGGGCAACUGGAAUUCUUGGUGUAGCGGUGAAAUGCGUAGAUAUCAAGAGGAACACCUGCGGCGAAGGCGGGUUGCUGGGCCGUCACUGACGCUGAGGCGCGAAAGCCAGGGGAGCGAACGGG